rnacentral:lncRNA from 1 species
UAGAGGGGACCCUUGUGCCUCGCAGCCCUCAUCUCCUAAUGGCUGUGGGGUCACUGUGUCGAGUUGUAAUGCCUAAUGAGCUCCUCUAAAAACAUCCUGAAACUUGUGUAAAAAAAACAGCAGACUCCCAGUGGAACUCGCCUUCAGAUGCAGCCCAGAAUAAGAGUUCUAGAAUGUGUGUGCCAUCCUUUUGUCUCAAUCUGCAUGAUUGCAAGUCUCUUCAACAUGAUUGGGUGCGUGGAGUGUCUCGGUCAUGUGUCUUCCCCUCUGAGCAUGCCUUUUGAUUCGCACCUGUGUCACAAUUGUGCCAGCCUGUGAGAUGUGUCUGCCUGUCACCAGUAUCGGCACAUUUAGUUUUCCCUUUACGUGAGUUUUGGUAAAAUAGUGACAAAAUGUAAUGCAGUGCUCAGUCACAGAAAAAUGUCAGGCCUACAGAAAUGGAGCAUUUGGCUGGCGGGUAGCGUGAUGACC